rnacentral:rRNA from 1 species
UACGAAGGGGGCUAGCGUUGUUCGGAAUUACUGGGCGUAAAGGGCGCGUAGGCGGUUCGUUAAGUCCUGUGUGAAAUCCCCCGGCUCAACUGGGGAACUGCACAGGAAACUAGCGGGCUUGAGUUCGGGAGAGGGAAGCGGAAUUCCGGGUGUAGCGGUGAAAUGCGCAGAUAUCAGGAAGAACACCCGUGGCGAAGGCGGCUCUCUGGGACGGUACUGACGCUGAGACGCGAAAGCGUGGGGAGCGAACAGG